rnacentral:rRNA from 1 species
CCGAAUUGUAAUUUGUAGAGGAUGUUUCGGCUUACGCCCCGGUCUAAGUUCCUUGGAACAGGACGUCACAGAGGGUGAGAAUCCCGUUUGUGGCCGGCGGCUUCCGCCAUGUGAAACUCCUUCGACGAGUCGAGUUGUUUGGGAAUGCAGCUCUAAAUGGGAGGUAAAUUUCUUCUAAAGCUAAAUACUGGCCAGAGACCGAUAGCGCACAAGUAGAGUGAUCGAAAGAUGAAAAGCACUUUGGAAAGAGAGUUAAAAAGUACGUGAAAUUGUUGAAAGGGAAGCGCUUGCGACCAGACUUGCCUGCAGUUGCUCCGCCGGUCCUUCGGCCGGUGUAUUCUUCUGCAGUCAGGCCAGCAUCAGUUUGGGCGGUUGGAUAAAGGCCUCGGGAAUGUGGCUCUCUUCGGGGAGUGUUAUAGCCCUUGGUGCAAUACAGCCUGCCUGGACUGAGGCCCGCGCUUCGGCUAGGAUGCUGGCGUAAUGGUCGUAAGCGGCCCGUCUUGAAACACGGACCAAGGAGUCUAACAUCUAUGCGAGUGUUUGGGUGUCAAACCCGUGCGCGUAAUGAAAGUGAACGGAGGUGGGAACCUUUUUGGGUGCACCAUCGACCGAUCCUGAUGUCUUCGGAUGGAU